CACUGUUCUUUUCCUUCGCCUCUCCUAAACAAACGACGAUUAGGUCGUCCAAAUCGCUCUUCCAUCUUCUUCCUCAGAUACAAAACGUUACCAGUUACCAAAUUAUCAUCUUGAAACCCUUCAUUACUCUCUCUCACACAAUCUAUAUUAAAUGCGAUCUCAGGAUCUGCAAGGCGAUGGAAAUUCAUCUAUAAAAAGAUUGGCUGCUCCUCCUCCACUGUUAAAGUCUGUUUGCUCCGUUUAGGGGAGGCUAUGCUCGGAAUAUCUGCUGUGGUGGAGAGCUCACGGCAAUGGAUAUGAUUUUCUGGACUCUCAGAUGCUUCCGCCGUCUUGAAUCAGUAUUACCUACAAAGUAUCUUCGACGAAAUCAGAAAAUAUGUAUAUUUAAAUACAUGUGUCGAAGGAACCAUUUCCAUGAUGAGGACAAAGAAGAUGGUCUUGAGAGAAAGUUCAGUCAAAAGAUACUGCAAGAAGAAGCUUAUAACUGUCACGUCCCCUGAAUCUGGAGAACUGACCUCAUCAACCAAAGUGUCCCUCAGAUGUAGAUGGUGAAGUGAGAGGCAUCAAAACUGUAUUCAACGAUGACAUAAGACCACAGAACGUAUAAUUGUUAACUUGAAUAUUGACAGGUUGCAACAUAUAAAGUACUAUAUAAACGUUAAUCACUAGAAGUUGAAUUUUGUUACGUGUGUGAUCAAUGAUUGUUUGUUUGGCCAGUGAGAAUGAUAAUUUUUUUGUAUGUCGCUGCUGUGUUUAUAAUUUAUAUAAUCUUUCCUUCAAGUUGUGGUUAUUAAAAGGGAGAAUAAUUCGUUUAGCUUUUAAAAAUAAAGGUUUUUCCAGAUCUUC